GCUUAAGAGAAAUUUGUUUCUAUGUCUGCAUUUCGACAAAAGUUCACUUCUUUAAAUUCAAGAAGUGAACUUUUGUCGAAAUGCAGACAUACAAUCACUUUCAAAAGUUGU